ACCGCGCUACGAUCGCGUAGCGGGGAAGCAAAAUUCUCAAAUUAAAGUACACCAUGUUAUUCAGAAUUCAUCGAAUUUAUAGAAUAAUCAAUUCGCAACAAUAACUUAACCAAUAUUGAUAAACAGUUGUUCUAGUUAGGUUUUCAAUCUAACGACUAUAUCCAUGUUUUGUUAAUUAAGAUGUUAAACAACACUUAUUUGUAACAUAAAAGUAACAGUUACUACCGUGCUGUAGGGAGGAGGGCAGCACCAACCGAGAGCGAUCCUGGCGAUCCGGUGCUUUCUAGGGACAACGAUCGAAUUUUCGGGGAUGAUGGAAUUUUUUUUUUUAGCUAGUAAUUUCAAUUGUGAAUUGUGAUAUGGCAAUCAUCACAGCCGUUUUUCGGUGCAAAUAAUCGGACGAAUUUGUGUAAAUUAUUUGGUUCAGGCUUCCCCCGGCCGCGAUUCAAUGACUUCGUGACAACGUAAUUUUUCAUAUUUCUUGAAAGAAUACUUAAUGACUGAUGCUUUAAACGACACCGGAUCUGCUAGACUUAUUAGCGAUAAAUUUAGAAGAAUGCCGCACUUUGUUAGUAGUUCACGAGACGAGACGGCUCAAACAAUGUCGGACGUUUCGUCAGACUUUGCAAGCUUGAGAGUGUCGGCUCUUCGUAAAGCUUCACAAAUCUCAAGCUUCGUAGACAAAGUUACAAUAGGACCGGAAUCGAAAGCAAUAAGUGACGAUGCCUCACGAACAGAGAACCUUGAAAAUGAAAAGAACACUUGUAACAUAGCGACGAUUGAAAAAGAGUCAAAUGUCCAAUCAGGGAUGAAAAAAAGUACCGAAGGUUCGACCAGGAGUAGCAUUACAUUUUCAGUGAAGAAAAUACUGCUGGAAAAUGAGAUGCAGCGACGAGAAGAUGUUCGGAGAGCAAUCGAUCGGCGCCGACGCCACAUGGAAGAAUCGGAAAAAGCCUUACAAGAAGAGAUUGCUAUAAUGCAAUGGAUUCUGGCUAUGAAACGGGAGUACGAAGAAACUAAAGAGCUUGAAUUAAUGGAGGCUGAGGAAGAGCGACUCGCACAACAGAACGAAAUCCGGAGAAAACAUGAGCAACAACUGCAGACUCAGAGAAUGCAAGAGAGAAAGGAAAAACUAGAACGAGAAGCGGAGGAACAUCGGAAAUGCCGAGAACGCGAGGAACUCGUUAAUUGCAUCGGAUCUCUGAGAACGAGCUUCCGCGAAAAGUGUCGGGACAUUGGAACUUUCUCAAAAACUUGCAAAGACAGACAUUCCGCCGCUACCAUUCUUGCUCCUCUUGCAAACAGGUGGAAAGAACUUGGCACCCAAAUGGAAGCGAUCAGCGAAAGAGCGAGAUCCGGUGAUAUAACAAUCGCCGAUUUAACGAUGGCCGAAGAUAUCGUAAAACAGAGCGAGGAGGUUUCCAAUGUUUGCAAAUCUGAAAUAGCGCGCAUCGAUGCCCUCUACGAGGAGGAAAUUGCGCGACGAGAAGCAGCGAUGAAGUUAGCUGAAGCGGAAGCCCAGGCGGAAGCCGCCCGAUCGUCGGAAUCCUCGAACACCGAAGUACAUCGACAACUAAUCGAGGAACAAGCUGCUCGAAAAUCGGACUCUCCCGAUCGCAAAGUGUCCGAAGUUCCAACGGACAACGAAUCACCGAAGGUCGUCGAAUCCCCGGCUACCACUCUUUCGAAUACUCCGGGAGAAACAAAUUCAAGAAUCCCGGAAGUCGACGGAGCCGCGCCUCCGACAGUUGACACCGGCACCGAAGAGCCGGAUGGUCCCUACUCCGACUUUCAGUCUCUACAAAUGUACAUGAAAACUCAUAUAUUUUUAACCAACUACAUGGCCAAUUAUCGAGAACUGGCGCAAACAAGCUCCCUCAAAAAGUUCCGUUUCGAAUGCCAAAAAGCCAUCAACAUACCGGUCAACGCGAUAUCAGGAGUGAACGCUUCUCAUCUAAAGGAAAAAUAUGAAAUGUUGAAAAAUCUACUCAUGGGAAAAUCCUCGCUGAACAUCACCCAGCAUCCCCAAGGAGUAGCUUUUUGUAAAGACAUACUCGCCAAGAAAAUAGUGAGCCAGGGCGAAACAUUGAUAUCGAGCAAACCGGAAAUGGCUUUCCCCGUGGCCGCUGUUGCCAUCGCCCUGUGGAACGAUUAUCCUGAUUUCGGGGAACUUCUUCUGGCUCACUUCGGUCGUACCUGUCCGUACAUUCUUCCAGUCUUUUUGCCUCAUCUUCAGGGACAAACGAACGAGGAAUAUUACAGAUCACUUGGUUACAAGUACAGUGAGGAUGGGGUUGUCGAAAAGCAGGAUAAAUAUCUUACUCGAAUGUCAGGACUCGUGAGACUGUAUGCCUCGAUAAUCGUCACUGCUCAGAGGAGGGGAGCGAACAAACCGCAUCCUCAUGGGAUCAAAAACGCGUGGCGUUGGCUAGCGAUCACUCUGAAUACUGAGCCCCGGACCGAUCUUUCGGAUGUUUGCGCUACGGUGAUCCUGGACAUGCUCGAAGUAGCGGGUAAUUGUUUGUGGCAAGCGUAUCCAAGGCAAUUUCCAAAAAUCCUGGACGUUCUGGCGCAACACUAUUAUCCCCAGAUGCGGAACGAGGCAGGGAUCGGUGGAGGACCAAUGGCUCGGCUCGAACAAUUCAUCAAAGAUUGUUUAACGAACAAAGCGAUUCCACCACCGGAGGGACAAUUACCGCCGAAUUUCUGGUGAUUUUUCGUAACUCGACACGAAUCGUCGAACUCUCGAGCCGCGUCCUUCCAAAAGUGGCAAUACUAUAGACGCUUUCAUAACUCGCUGAAAUUUUGAAAACGAGUGGAACCGAAUCCAAGUUCGCACUUGGAGCGUAGGAAUAGGAGUUUGACGUACCGAGUGUCUUUUUAUUGAGCAUUAUACGAUACGGCGGCAGAGGUCCGAGGCUCUCCAAAACGCAAACCGAAUCGAUGCCGUGCAAGGUGUUUUUGUGGCAGAGAAAAACCGGCGACUCCAGUACUCCGAUUUCCGUUUGUUUUCCAGCCACCAUUUGGAGCGUCGACAAUUGUGAGCCGGAAUCUUAAAGCAUAUGGUCAUUUCUCGCUAUUUGGAAUGAUUUUUCUGUGUGGCGAGUACUAUUUUUUCGAUUAUUCACCGGAAGUGUCGCCGAAGAAAGAAGGAUUUUCGCCUUUGCUGUUCAAGUGCCGAAAUAAUAGGGCCGUCGCACCCAGGCCCUUGCUCCGAUCCGGCAAGGAGCAUCUGUAGCCCCGCAAAUCCAAGAUUCCCUAGUAGACAAUGGCAGCAUUAAAAAAGAGCAGGACCGUCGAAAAAAAAACGAAUAAAUGGGACUAAAAACCUCGAUAUUUCGGACGCAGUCCUUGGCCACCACGACGUCGACGUAGACGUCAGGAUUCCUAGUAGUUUUCAAACGAUGCUCGAAAACGAAACUCACCGGGAGCAGAGAGCCUUCGUCCCAGCCGCCGCCAACCGGCAGAACCGCUGAAUAUCGAUCAGAAAUUGGAAAUCAACGUUAUUUCUACGGUCGAAGCCGAAAAGCCUGACUCUGCGUGGUCCUAGGCGGACUCGAUGCUCGAGUGAUCCUUCAGACCAGAAAAUCGUCCUCUUACCCAUGUCGACGAUGUUUUGAGCCACGGGCCUCUCGGGGCGAGAUUCGUGGAGAAGAACGACCGGCCGACCGGUUAUGGUUUCGAGAAUUUCAGCGAGAAUUUCGAAGAGAGGAAUCGGCAGCGAUGGCACCAAGUGCGUGGCGAGAACGAAAGCUGGCUCGGCGAAAUUUGGCAACGCCCUCAAAAUCGAGGCAGCUUCUCUGGGGACGGCCACACUCGCUCGGGUCUGCUCGGAAGAAAAAAUCGUCGACUUUUAUCAGAGAAAUUGAUUCUACUGGAUUUUUUAUUAAAAUGGAUCAGGUCGUCGGAAAAUAGUUUCGAA